UGCCAGCAGCCGCGGUAAUACGGAGGGGGCUAGCGUUGUUCGGAAUUACUGGGCGUAAAGCGCGCGUAGGCGGAUUAGUCAGUUGGAGGUGAAAUCCCGGAGCUCAACUCCGGAAUUGCCUUCAAUACUGCUAGUCUUGAGUACUGGAGGGGGUGGUGGAAUUCCCGGUGUAGAGGUGAAAUUCGUAGAUAUCGGGAGGAAUACCGGUGGCGAAGGCGGCUCUCUGGUCCGGUCCUGACGCUGAGGCGCGAAAGCGUGGGGAGCAAACAGGAUUAGAUC
rnacentral:rRNA from 1 species